GCGACUAAGCGUACACGGUGGAUGCCCUGGCAGUCAGAGGCGAUGAAGGACGUGCUAAUCUGCGAUAAGCGCCGGUAAGGUGAUAUGAACCGUUAUAACCGGCGAUUUCCGAAUGGGGAAACCCAGUGUGAUUCGUCACACUAUCAUUAACUGAAUCCAUAGGUUAAUGAGGCGAACCGGGGGAACUGAAACAUCUAAGUACCCCGAGGAAAAGAAAUCAACCGAGAUUCCCCCAGUAGCGGCGAGCGAACGGGGAGGAGCCCAGAGCCUGAAUCAGCAUGUGUGUUAGUGGAAGCGUCUGGAAAGGCGCGCGAUACAGGGUGACAGCCCCGUACACAAAAGCGCAUGUGCUGUGAGCUCGAUGAGUAGGGCGGGACACGUGGUAUCCUGUCUGAAUAUGGGGGGACCAUCCUCCAAGGCUAAAUACUCCUGACUGACCGAUAGUGAACCAGUACCGUGAGGGAAAGGCGAAAAGAACCCCGGCGAGGGGAGUGAAAAAGAACCUGAAACCGUGUACGUACAAGCAGUGGGAGCACAGGUUUACCUGUGUGACUGCGUACCUUUUGUAUAAUGGGUCAGCGACUUAUAUUCUGUAGCAAGGUUAA
rnacentral:rRNA from 1 species